CCUACGGGAGGCUGCAGUGGGGAAUAUUGGACAAUGGGGGCAACCCUGAUCCAGCCAUGCCGCGUGUGUGAAGAAGGCCCUCGGGUUGUAAAGCACUUUCAGUGAGGAAGAACGCCUGGUGGUUAAUACCCAUCAGGAAAGACAUCACUCACAGAAGAAGCACCGGCUAACUCCGUGCCAGCAGCCGCGGUAAUACGGAGGGUGCGAGCGUUAAUCGGAAUUACUGGGCGUAAAGCGCGCGUAGGUGGCUUGAUAAGCCGGUUGUGAAAGCCCCGGGCUCAACCUGGGAACGGCAUCCGGAACUGUCAAGCUAGAGUGCAGGAGAGGAAGGUAGAAUUCCCGGUGUAGCGGUGAAAUGCGUAGAGAUCGGGAGGAAUACCAGUGGCGAAGGCGGCCUUCUGGACUGACACUGCCACUGAGGUGCGAAAGCGUGGGUAGCAAACAGGAUUAGAUACCCUAGUAGUC
rnacentral:rRNA from 1 species